rnacentral:rRNA from 1 species
AGUGGGGAAUUUUGGACAAUGGGCGCAAGCCUGAUCCAGCCAUGCCGCGUGAGUGAAGAAGGCCUUCGGGUUGUAAAGCUCUUUCGGCCGGGAAGAAAUCGCAUGGGUUAAUACCCUGUGUGGAUGACGGUACCGGAAUAAGAAGCACCGGCUAACUACGUGCCAGCAGCCGCGGUAAUACGUAGGGUGCGAGCGUUAAUCGGAAUUACUGGGCGUAAAGCGUGCGCAGGCGGUUUUGUAUGACAGGCGUGAAAUCCCCGGGCUUAACCUGGGAACUGCGCUUGUGACUGCAAGGCUAGAGUACGGCAGAGGGGGGUGGAAUUCCACGUGUAGCAGUGAAAUGCGUAGAGAUGUGGAGGAACACCAAUGGCGAAGGCAGCCCCCUGGGUCGAUACUGACGCUCAUGCACGAAAGCGUGGGUAGCAAACAGGAUUAGAUACCCUGGUAGUCCACGCCCUAAACUAUGUCAACUAGGUGUUGGGUGGGUAAAACCAUUUAGUACCGUAGCUAACGCGUGAAGUUGACCGCCUGGGGAGUACGGCCGCAAGGUUAAAACUCAAAGGAAU